rnacentral:rRNA from 1 species
AACGAACGCUGGCGGCGUGCCUAACACAUGCAAGUCGAACGGAACCUUCGGGUCUUGUGGCGCACGGGUGCGUACCGCGUGGUAACCUGCCCUUAGGUUCGCUAUCCCUCCCCGAAGGGGGUGCUCAUACCAGAUGAUCUCUUCGCACCAAGGAUCUAUCGCCUUUGGAUGGGCGCGGGUUGGAUUCGCUGGUUGGUAGUGUACUAGCCUGGCAAGGCGACGAUCCAUGGCUGGUCUGAGAGGAUGAUCAGCCACACUGGGACUGAGACACGGCCCAGACUCCUACGCGAGGGAGCAGUGGAGAAUAUUGGAGAAGGGGCGAAGGCCUGAUCCAGCAGUGCCGGGGGAGUGAUGAAGGCCUUAGGGUUGUAAAGCUCUUUUUCCCGGGAUGAUAAUGACAGUACCGGGAGAAGAAGCUCCGGCUAACUCCGUG